UGUAUUCUAUGUAACUAUUAUUCGUAUAACUUUGAAAUUUCCUAUAAACGCAUAAAAAUCAGAUGUUCGAUUAGACCGCGAAAAGCGAUCGCUUACGAAAGUGAUUCUUGGUCCGGUUUGAGGAGCCCUGAUCUAACCUAUUAAACGCUGUUGCACGAUCAUUCGUACAGAACUUGAAACAGAAAGGAAACUGCUCCCUGAUUUCUGGUGCCGCGGGCGUCCAGGCGUCCCGAAGCACCGGCUAUCAUGUCGAGAAGAAGGUGAAGCCGUUUCACCAUCAUGAGUAUCGUAGAGAACAUGAUACAGACUAUUUUAUUCUAUCUAUUUACCAAUGAUACGGUUUGUACCUUGACGAUAUGCAAUAAUAAGAAAGAACAUCGUGCAUUGGACGGCCGACGAACGUUCAUGUUUAGUCUACGUCUAUGGAGGUGUGUCAGCCCGUCAUGUGGGGAUCAAGCUAAGCUCAACAAGCUCUACGAGGAUAGGAGAACAUGUCGGAGAAGGUGUACUUUUGCCUAGGAUUAUCCGCUCUAAUGCCCCUAUAGUUGAAUCCCAGCGUGUUUGGUAAAAUGGCGCGAACGAGGAGAGUUAAAUAUUUCCAUGGAGGCACCUGGACUGUAAGCACAUCGUAUCGGCAACCAUACUAAAUUCCAAGCUUGGGACAUUGUUCAAAUGGAGCAGAUAUUAAUGUUAUCUCACUUACCUCACGCAAUUUGCAUGGGAACAAAGGUCCAUCUUCAAAUGUUCGUCCACUGAUCUUAAAAUCUUGUGUCGCGGUGUGUACAAAUGUAUCGAUCCAUGAGUAACAACCGCAUAC